rnacentral:rRNA from 1 species
AUUGAACGCUGGCGGCAGGCCUAACACAUGCAAGUCGAGCGAGCGGCGGACGGGUGAGUAAUGUCUGGGAAACUGCCUGAUGGAGGGGGAUAACUACUGGAAACGGUAGCUAAUACCGCAUACCAUCAGAUGUGCCCAGAUGGGAUUAGCUAGUAGGUGGGGUAAAGGCUCACCUAGGCGAAGAUCCCUAGAUGGUCUGAGAGGAUGAACAGCCAAACGGGAACUGUGACACGGUCCGUACUCCUACGGGAGGCAGCAGUGGGGAAUAUUGCACAAUGGGCGCAAGCCUGAUGCAGCCAUGCCGCGUGUAUGAAGAAGGCCUUCGGGUUGUAAAGUACUUUCAGCGGGGAGGCGUUACCCGCAGAAGAAGCACCGGCUAACUCCGUGCCAGCAGCCGCGGUAAUUC